rnacentral:ncRNA from 1 species
AGAAAAAGAAUUUUCACUUAAAAAUUUAUUAUAAAUUUGUUUUACAUAUAAAUUUUUCAGUUAGUUUUAAAAAAAAUUUUAAAAAAUUAUAAAAAUUAAUUGUAGUAUUUAAUUUUAAAUAUUUAAGAAAUUAAGAUUUAGUAAUAUUAAAAUUAUUAACUAAUUUUGUGCCAGCAGUUGCGGUUAUACAAUAAAUAAAUUAAAUAUUAUUAGUCAUUAAUUAAUAAAUUAAUAUAAUUAUUAUAAAUUUAUUAUUAUUAAGUAAAAUUUUAAUUUUUUAAAAUAUAGUUAAUAUUUAAUUAUGAAUUAAUAAAUUUUAUUUUAAACUAGGAUUAGAUACCCUAUUAUUAAAAAAUUAAAAUUUUAAACUAAAAUAGUAAAUUAGUUUUUAAACUUAAAAAAAUUGGCGGUAUUUUAGUUUAUUUAGAGGAAUCUGUUUAUUAAUUGAUAUUCCACGAAUAAAUUUACUUAAUUUAAAGUUUAUAUAUCGUCGUUAAAAAAAUAUUUUAUAAAAAUAGAAAAUAUUUAAAAAUUUAAAUAGAAAAUUAAAUCAGAUCAAGAUGUAAUUUAUAUUUAAGAAUAUAAUGGAUUACAAUAAAAAUAUUUAUAAUGAAUUAUAAUUUGUAAUAAUUAUAUGAAAUUGGAUUUAAAUGUAAUUAUAUUUAAUUUAAUUUAAUGAUUUAAUAUUAAAAUAUGUACAUAUUGCCCGUCGCUCUCAUUUUAAAGUUGAGAUAAGUCGUAACAAAGUAGAGGUACUGGAAAGUGUUUCUAGAAAGAGU